UCCUGAAAACGGACACAAACACAAACUCUAGAUAAUUUUGAGCCCCCCAAAUACUGCCCAAGAUUCCUUCACUUGCUCCUCCCCCGAACAGCCACGUUUCCAAAGACUGAAGGAGCACACAGCUUGGGGAUGGAGGGAGCUGUUGAGUGGUCUUAAUAUAAAACAAAAAUUCGUCAUGUCAAUAAAACGACCUGAAACUCACCUAGCCCUCCCAUUUCCAGCCAGAAGAAAGAGGGACAUGGAAAGAUAGUCUCAUACAUGCAAUUGUGUGAAGAACAAGUUCAAAAUGAACAGGCUCUGGAAUGCCUUUUUGUAAGCAUCAUUCUUUUUCUAAGCCUCUGGACUGAGUUGUGCUCUGCCCAGUCCCAAGUCUUCCUAAUACCUAGAGUUAAAGGAAGUCUUCUGUGCUCCUAAUUAAAGUUAACCAAACAUUCUAGCGGUCAGAAUCACAAAGGUGUCUCAGGAAGCAAUUGCUUUAAUAAAGUCAACAAAAAUUGAGUAAUGUCUUCAUCUCACAACCAAGGCUGUGUCCCGACAGUACCUUUGAAUAAGAGAUCAUUCAAGCACUCUUACUUCAGUAACAAGAUCUAUGCCCAGAAACUUGAUGCCUACCUCUUAGAUGUUGAAGAGACUGGUAUUUUUGGUCUCCUCAAAGUGAAUAUCCUAUUUAGCCCCAGUCUUAGAAAUAAUCAUAUUAUAUUUACUCUCCAGUCACUUAGAAAAUUAAUGGCUUGAACUAGAACCAGAUUCAAAACUCAUAUGUCCUAAAGAAGCCCAUUUCCCAUUGGGAAAUAUUUUGAUUGAUUCUGUCCCUCACUACUAAGAUGUCAUCAAAAGAUGAAGCACCUUCCCCAUGCCUCUACACAUACACACACACAAACACACACACACACACACACUCCAUCACACCUCAAAAGAAUAUAGAUGUUUUGACUUUCCUUAGAAAGUCUCAAGGCUUGUCACCAUCAAUUAGAAAGCAUCUUGAAGGAAAAUAGAAGAGACUAUCAAUCUGCGUAACUCUGAUAAAUUUUGCAAAGUGUUGAUUGUCUUUUAAGUGUGUAACAGAGUGGGAAAAGUGAAUAAUCUGUCUCAUGUAAAGAAGUCUCAGCAUGACAAUUUUCCCAUGGGAUAAAAUAAUCAAGGAAAGAAAAUAUUUUCUUAACUGUAUUAGACAACUUUUGCAAUUAGAUCACAUCUUCAGGCACCACUGAGUGCUUCCCUACACAAAAGAAUUUGGUAUCUGUUCUUGUGGGUAGUUACUUGAGAGAGGAAAUUAAACAUUUCUAGAAAGGAGACUCAAAGGGGCAAGAGUUAUAAGAAUGGUAAAGAAGAAUGAAGAAAAUGUCCUGGAGAGCACUAGAGCAGACAUCAGAAAAGACGGUGAAAAAUAAUGCCCUGAACUUUUCGGGGGUAGAAGAAAGCAAGACUAAGAGGAGAAAGCUGCUAGAGGGGGCAGGAAGUGGUGUUUUCUGCUUCCUGGAAGAGAAAGA